GGGGCACUAGCUCAGCUGGGAGAGCGCCUCGUUCGCAACGAGGAGGUCGAGGGUUCGAAUCCCUUGUGCUCCA
rnacentral:tRNA from 1 species